rnacentral:rRNA from 1 species
UACGUAGGGUGCAAGCGUUACUCGGAAUUACUGGGCGUAAAGCGUGCGCAGGCGGUUGUGCAAGACAGGUGUGAAAUCCCCGGGCUUAACCUGGGAACUGCAUUUGUGACUGCACGGCUAGAGUGUGUCAGAGGGGGGUAGAACUCCACGUGUAGCAGUGAAAUGCGUAGAGAUGUGGAGGAAUACCGAUGGCGAAGGCAGCCCCCUGGGAUAACACUGACGCUCAUGCACGAAAGCGUGGGGAGCAAACAGG